GUGAUCUGAACCUUUGGUACCUACAAAGAGGGUGUCUCACCGAAAGGUAGCUAAAACCUCUCCAGAACGGCGCACGGAACUGUGGAGACACAGCGGAAGGCUCCUCUGGAGCCUCAUAUCUGGGCCGAACCCUAGACCCAGCGCUUCAAGGAGCCCCUCGCUUGGAUCACAGGAGAUGAAAUUUUGUUCUUCAGUGCUAAUCUUUCUGUAGAUGUAUUAUGACAUCACCUGUCCACUUGAACAGAUAAGGGGAAGGACCCUGGAUGACUCUGACUGUGAAAUUCUUGACGGGCAGAAUGAUGGGCAACUCCAAAGCUGAGACUCCAGCUCAGUG
ensembl:antisense 2700069I18Rik RIKEN cDNA 2700069I18 gene